rnacentral:rRNA from 1 species
GAUGAACGCCGGCGGCGUGCUUAACACAUGCAAGUCGAACGAAGCAGAUGAGAAAGCUUGCUUUUUUAUUUCGCUUAGUGGCGGACGGGUGAGUAACGCGUGAGUAACCUGCCCUUCAGUGGGGAAUAACAUCGAGAAAUCGGUGCUAAUACCGCAUAACGUAUCUAUGUCGCAUGACAUUUAUACCAAAGGAUUUAUUCGCUGAAGGAUGGACUCGCGUCCGAUUAGAUAGUUGGUGAGAUAAUGGCCCACCAAGUCAACGAUCGGUAGCCGAACUGAGAGGUUGAUCGGCCACAUUGGGACUGAGACACGGCCCAGACUCCUACGGGAGGCAGCAGUGGGGAAUAUUGGGCAAUGGGCGAAAGCCUGACCCAGCAACGCCGCGUGAAGGAUGAAGGUCUUCGGAUUGUAAACUUCUUUGAUUAGGGAAGAAUUUUUGACCUACCUAAAGAACAAGUCACGGCUAACUACGUGCCAGCAGCCGCCGUAAUAC